rnacentral:rRNA from 1 species
GAUGAACGCUGGCGGCGUGCCUAAUACAUGCCAGUCGAGCGAACAGACGAGGAUCUUGCUCCUCUGACGUUAGCGGCGGACGGGUGUGUAACACGUGUAUAACCUACCUAUAAGACUGGGAUAACUUCGGGAAACCGGAGCUAAUACCGGAUAAUAUAUUGAACCGCAUGGUUCAAUAGUGAAAGACGGUUUUGCUGUCACUUAUCGAUGGAUCCGCGCCGCAUUAGCUAGUUGGUAAGGUAACGGCUUACCAAGGCAACGAUGCGUAGACGACGUGAGAGAGUGGUCGGCCACACUGGAAGUGGGACACGGUCCAGACUCCUACGGGAGGCAGCAGUAGGGAAUGUUACGCAGUGGGCGAAAGCCUGACGGAGCAACGCCACGUGAGUGAUGAAGGUCUUCGGAUCGUAAAACUCUGUUAUUAGGGAAGAACAAAUGUGUAAGUAACUAUGCACGUCUUGACGGUACCUAAUCAGAAAGCCACGGCUAACUACGUG